AAGAAAACGACCUAUUUAAUGGUUGUUUCUUAUACUAGAUCCGCCUCACGCUCGCACCGACCAAAGUUGAACGUGUGGCUUUUUUA
rnacentral:ncRNA from 1 species